GGCUCAGAACGAACGCUGGCGGCGCGUUUAAGUCAUGCAAGUCGAGCGGCAAGGGCCUUCGGGCCCCUAGAGCGGCGGACGGGUGAGUAACACGUGGACAAUCUGCCCCCCGGCCCGGGAUAGCCCAGGGAAACCUGGAUUAAUACCGGAUGAGACGGGACCCGCGAUGGCGGGACCCGGGAAAGGCGCUGCGGCGCCGCCGGGGGAUGAGUCUGCGUCCCAUUAGCUAGACGGCGGGGUAACGGCCCACCGUGGCGACGAUGGGUAGCCGGCCUGAGAGGGUGGACGGCCACAUUGGAACUGAGACACGGUCCAGACUCCUACGGGAGGCAGCAGCUAAGAAUCUUCCGCAAUGGGCGAAAGCCUGACGGAGCCGACGCCGCGUGAACGAAGAAGGCCGUGAGGUUGUAAAGUUCUUUUCGGGAGGGGGAACAACCGUGGCAGGGAAUGGCCGCGGGAUGACGUGAAUCCCGGAAUAAGCCCCGGCUAACUACGUGCCAGCCGCCGC
rnacentral:rRNA from 1 species